AAAUCAACAUUACUGUGACGGCGUAAAGUGUGGUAACAUGAUAUCCAAGUAACUAAGAUUAAAAUGCAACUGAGCUGUAAUAAGCCCAAGAUGCCCAUAAGGCCACCUACCAAAGAAGAUCUUAGUCUAACGAUUGAUUGAAAUCCACGAAAGCCAGGGCCCAAACUGGGAUUAGAUACCCCACUAUGCCUGGCCCUAAAUCUUGAUUCUAAUAACCUACCCAAGAAUCCGCCCGAGAACUACGAGCACAAACGCUUAAAACUCUAAGGACUUGGCGGUGUCUCAAACCCACCUAGAGGAGCCUGUUCUAUAAUCGAUAAUCCACGAUCUACCUAACCAUUCCUAGCUAGAAUUUCAGCCUACAUACCGCCGUCUCCAGCUCACCCCCCCUGAUGGCUCAACA
rnacentral:rRNA from 1 species